GAAGUAUAAUGAAUAAAAAAAAGCUGCUAACUUUAUUUUUAAUGGUUAAAUUCCAUUAAUACUUCU
rnacentral:tRNA from 1 species